rnacentral:lncRNA from 1 species
GUUAUAGAUGGUGGUGGUGUAGAUGAGGCUGGGUCUAGUCAGGUUAUAGAUGGUGGUGUAGAUGAGGCUGGGUCGAGUCAGGUUAUAGAUGGUGGUGUAGAUGAGGCUGGGUCUAGUCAGGCUAUAGAUGGUGGUGUAGACGAGGCUGGGUCUAGUCAGGUUAUAGAUGGUGGUGUAGAUGAGGCUGGGUCUAGUCAGGUUAUAGAUGGUGGUGUAGAUGAGGCUGGGUCUAGUCAGGUUAUAGAUGGUGGUGUAGAUGAGGCUGGGUCUAGUCAGGUUAUAGAUGGUGGUGGUGUAGAUGAGGCUGGGUCUAGUCAGGUUAUAGAUGGUGGUGUAGAUGAGGCUGGGUCUAGUCAGGUUAUAGAUGGUGGUGGUGUAGAUGAGGCUGGGUCUAGUCAGGUUAUAGAUGGUGGUGGUGUAGAUGAGGCUGGGUCUAGUCAGGUUAUAGAUAGUGGUGUAGAUGAGGCUGGGUCGAGUCAGGUUAUAGAUGGUGGUGUAGAUGAGGCUGGGUCUAGUCAGGCUAUAGAUGGUGGUGUAGAUGAGGCUGGGUCUAGUCAGGUUAUAGAUGGUGGUGUAGAUGAGGCUGGGUCUAGUCAGGCUAUAGAUGGUGGUGUAGAUGAGGCUGGGUCUAGUCAGGUUAUAGGUGGUGGUGUAGAUGAGGCUGGGUCUAGUCAGGUUAUAGGUGGUGGUGUAGAUGAGGCUGGGUCUAGUCAGGUUAUAGAUGGUGGUGUAGAUGAGGCUGGGUCUAGUCAGGUUAUAGAUGGUAGUGUAGAUGAGGCUGGGUCUAGUCAGGUUAUAGAUGGUAGUGUAGAUGA